CGGCGGUGCGCGGCGGUGUCCAGCGAGCCAUCCUCACCCAGCUCCAGCCGGCUGAGCUCAGGCGCUUCCUGCGGACAGCGCAGCUCAGGGUGCGGCUGGGACUGCCAGGGGCUGGCAAGACCUGCAGCUGCUGGACACAGGCCACAGAGCUGGUGCCUCCCGCGCCAUCACUGCAGUGCAGCCCGGGUGGACGGAGGAAGCCAAGGGGAACGGCCUGGGCUCAGAGUAAGGAGACCUUGCCCCGGGGGACAAACGGUGUCUGAAGUGUAGGGGUGAAGCGGUCUCCAGUCCUCAGGGGCCUGGAAAUCAGCUCCUUGGGACACGGUCUUCUGUGUAUUGACCAUUCUCCCCAUCCAUUCCCUCUUCGGAAUGUUUCAGCUGUUCUGAGAAAACACUUUGCAUUCCUGCCCCGCCCCUGUGAUUUCUCUUUGGGCGGCAGCCAGGAGAGGCUGGAGGCCUGGGGAGAUGGGGGCAGGGCACAAGGCUGAGCUCAGCACCUUCCUCCACCCUCCUCACUGUACUCAACUCCUAGGCGGGCACUAAGAGCAGCUGCCUUCCUGGACCCACCUUAACCUCUUGCGACUCAACUCCCCUUUCCAGGGUGCAGGGAACAUUCCCUCUGCCCUGCCUUCCAGCUCUGGCCACAGUGGCCUGGACAGAGUAGCUGGGUCCCAGGCCUGCCC
rnacentral:sRNA from 1 species